rnacentral:rRNA from 11 species
UACAAUGGCUGUUAUCCAUUAAUGGCAUCAAAUCCCAUUUGAUUUUGAAGCUAAUCAAGAUCAGCCCUAGUUAGUACUUCAAUGGACCACCACCAGUCAAUGCCAGCAGCUGUAGGCU